CAAUAGCGUAUAUUAAAGUUGUUGCAGUUAAAAAGCUCGUAGUUGAAUUUCGGGUCCCCGCGCUCGGCGCUUCAUUGUGCCGUCGUGGUGUCCCUCCUCGCCGUAAGGCGUCCUUACUGUGAAAAAAUUAGAGUGUUCAAAGCAGGCAAUCGCUUGAAUACAUUAGCAUGGAAUAAUAAGAUAGGAUCUUGUCUAUUUUGUUGGUUGCGGACAACGAUAAUGAUUAAUAGGGAUAGUUGGGGGUGUCCGUAUUGAGCUGUCAGAGGUGAAAUUCUUGGAUUUGCUCAAGACGAACUACUGCGAAAGCAUUCACCAAGGAUGUUUUCAUUAA
rnacentral:rRNA from 1 species